CAGGGGGCAGCGCUCGUCCGGGAGGCUCGGGCCGCACAGGAGCCCACGGAGCGCGGGGAGGCUCAGGCAUGGCGGGCUGCAGGUCCCGAGCCCUGCCCCGCGGGAAGGCAGCUAAGGCCCCGCGAGAAAUUGAGCACAGCAGCUGCUGGCCCAGGUGCUACGCCCCUCACUGCCCGGGGCGGUGGGGCCCCGCCGGCCGCUCCUAGUGCGGGGUCCGCCCAGCCCACGCGCACCCGGAACUCGCGCUGGCCCGGAACUCGCGCUGGCCCGGAACUCGCGCUGGCCCGGAACUCGCGCUGGCCCAGAACUCGCGCUGGCAGGGAAGCACCGCGCGCAGCCCCGCUUCCCGCCCGCGCCUCUCCCUCCACACCUCCUCACAAGCUGAGGGAGCCGGCUCCGGCCUUAGCCAGCCCAGAAAGGGGCUCCCACAGUGCAGCGGCGGGCUGAAGGGCUCCUCAAGUGCCGCCAAAGUGGGAGCCCAGGCAGAGGAGGCGCCGAGAGCGAGCGAGGGCUGUGAGGACUGCCAGCAUGCUGUCACCUCUCAGUAUAAUUUAAGAUCAACCCUAAUUGAAAAUACUAUAUUUUGAAGGGUCACGUUUCUCUUUAGAUUACACACAGUGUCUUGUGAUACUGCCUCUGGUCAGCUGAUUUCUCCUUGCCUCAUUCCAACUUCUUUUGUCAGAAAAUUCUUCAAGAUUGCCACAUUCUUUCACAAUAAUAUGACUUUUCUCCAAGCGUUUGCACCUCCACGACCUGCACAAGUCAUGGUUUUGUUUGCUUCCUUGCUCUUGGAUGUGAUUCUGAUCUCUGGCCCUUGGACAUCUGGUUAGUUCUGGUCAGUUCCCACCCUGGACCAGCCCCAGAGAUUACACAGGAUGAAAGAUAUCUCACCAGCACAAGGGAGGUGGGAAGAGAACAUGGAAGUCAAGCACCUUUUUAAAAGAUUUGAAAUGGAAGCUGUGCACAUGACUGUGGAUCAUACCUCUCAUUCACGGCCACAUACAGCUGCAAGUCUCUACGCUUAUGGCCAUACAGCUCAGCCAAAAGGGGUGUAUGUGGGAAGUUCUGUUAAUAAAAAGAGGAAGGGGAGAAUAAAUAAUAGUAGGGGACAAUAACAUUCAAUUUAAUAUAUACAUUGAAUCAAGGAAUACUUCACCACAAUAACCACUAAAAGAUACACACACACGCACACAUACCCACACACACUACUCCUAUCGAUGUCUAUCUAUAUAAGAUAUAUAUAUAUUAUAUCAUAUAUAUAAUAUAUAUCUUAGCUGAAAGUAAAGGGAAAUAUCCUAAAGCACUGCUCAGUUCUGUGAAUACCCUAAGCACUUUUUAUAGACAUAGAGAGGAUCUCAGAAGACUAAGACUAGCAUGAUGUUUAAAAGGCAAACCAAAUAUAUGGAACUAGAAUAAAAACUUAUUUUGAAAAGACACAGCUAAAUAUUCUCGUGUAAACUUUUUGAGGCUGUUUUAGUGAGGGUUACUGUUUGUAUACAGCAAACUCUAACUGCACCUAGCACAUGAAAACUAAUUAGACUUAUUAAAAGACUCUCCAGGGCUUGUAGACGUAACAGCACCUUGGACUACAGGUUUGAAAAUAGGCAUACGUUAAGAAGACAGUUUCAGAUUGAGAUAUAAGAAAUACAGCAACCAUCUUCACCAGGAGAAACAUGGCUAGCUAGGAUGAUGUCUCCACUGUUGUGGGACUAUUACAAAUGAAUUACAACUUUCACUUUGUCUUUGGCUUAUUCUCUCCAGAUAUAAAGUCUUAGGUGGGAGUAUAUGAUUAGCUAAGACUUCAUCACAUGUCCUGUACUCUGGUUGCCUCUGUAACAAAAGUGGGGCAAUUUCUCUUGCCAACACUACACAUAAUGGAGACUCCCCCAAAACUCAGAAGGGAGGUAAGAUGCAAAUUAAACAAUUUUUAAGUCUACUACAGAUCCUGGCAAAGGCUUUCUAGUUUGAUUUUAUAGCCAGUGGUGAUCUGCCUCCAAAUCCUAUCUAUCUUGAAUUAUGGCUUAUGCAGGUUUAAUAAGUCACCUCUUACUAGUUUAAUUCAGGAGCCUCUUCUCUUGUCUUGGACAUUUUUGGUAAUUAAGCCUACUCUUUCUACUUGAAACAACCAUACUCAUGUUUCAGGACUUUAUCUCCCUCUGAUUCUGCCUUCUCUGGUUGUUCUCUAUCAGACUUUCAUUUAUUUCUCUAUUUUCAAAAAACUGAUUUUCUCUAGAAAUUCAGUCUUUGCUUCUUUUUUCUUCUGAAUUUCAUACUAUGAGCAACACCAUUCACUUUUUACUUUCCACAUUUAACACAUAUAUAAAUAAAUUCCAAAUCAACAUACUUCCUGCUUGGCCUCUCUCCUCGUAAGAUACAGAUUGGAAUUAAAUGCUUACACCAAGAACUUCACAUGCCCAUAACCAAACUAAAUAUGUUCUCACAAAUUGUUUUUUUCCUCUUAAUCUCUAUCUUUAUGAAAAAACACUAUUUUUAAUUGAUGCAAACAGUUAUUGAAUCUUCUCUUUCUCUUCCUCAAUCUCAUAACCCCCAUGAACAUCCUUUUGGUUGUCAAGAUCUAUUAAUUCUACGCUUAAGUCUUGCUUCUUUCUCUCUGCUCUUUUCUACCCUUACCCUCCCUGUCUUAGCUUAGGCCCUACAUAUUGUGUCUUUUAAUGAACUGAUGAUGGCCUAUGGGUCAGUUAUGUCAUACCAUAUUUGUCUCCUUGGUGUUUAGUGCUUGGGAUAUAGUAUCAUUAUCGAAUUGAAACAUUUUAAAAUUCCAUUGUAAAGGAGAAACGGUCUUGUAUAUAUGACUAAAUAUAUGUGCAUCUGUGCCUACAUUCACUAUAAUCAUUAUGACUUAGAUAAGAUGUAAAAUAGAUUUAAUGACUAAAAUAUAUGAACAAUAUAUGGCAAUUUAUAUGUGAAUUACUGUUUGAAGUAUAUGUGAAAAUAUCAGUGGGACAUUUUAAAAUCUUCUGUACACACUCAUGUGUUCAAUAUUGAGCCAGUAUAUGAAUGAGUCAGAGUAGCUGUGGCUUCUUGAGCUGGUUGCUCAGCUAUUCCUGUGCUUUCCUUCUUUUACGUUUCUUUGUUCCACUUUAUUUU
rnacentral:lncRNA from 10 species